UACGUAGGGUGCGAGCGUUAAUCGGAAUUACUGGGCGUAAAGCGUGCGCAGGCGGUUCGUUGUGUCCGUCGUGAAAGCCCCGGGCUUAACCUGGGAACUGCGAUGGAAACUAGCGAGCUGGAGUGUGGCAGAGGGGGGUGGAAUUCCGCGUGUAGCAGUGAAAUGCGUAGAGAUGCGGAGGAACACCGAUGGCGAAGGCAGCCCCCUGGGCUAACACUGACGCUCAGGCACGAAAGCGUGGGUAGCAAACAGG
rnacentral:rRNA from 1 species